rnacentral:rRNA from 1 species
UUCCAGUGAACUAACUGUGUUACGACUUACCUCUUCUUUAGAAGAGGGUGACGGGCGAUAUGUACACCUAAAUUCAAUUUCGUUCUUAAUUCUUGUUAAAAAACUACUUCCAAAUCCUCUUUCGUUUCCUCUUUAGAAAAAAGUCCUUUAAUUAGUUUAAUAGGUAAUUAGUUUCGUCUUUUUCCAUAAUCUUCACCUUGACCUGACUUACGAAAUAAUAUUUAGACAUAAUUUUUGAAUUCUAUCUUUAGACGGCGGUAUAAAAGAGAAGGAAAAGAGAAAAUGAACGGGAAGAAUCGAUAAAAACAAAUUCCUCUGGUAAGAGAAAAGGCCGCCAAAAAGCAUAGGUUUA